CAGAAAACAGGGCAUGUACGGUGCCCCCUGGAGUUGUGUGAGGAUACCCUACUAGUUUGGAUUCAACAAACAAUUGAGAUGAGCAUGGUGGCCUAGAGACGAUCUCUCUUCUGUUGGUUCCUCACAAAGGUGAAUGAUUUCCUGCUGCAAAGACUGUGAGGCAUCAUUUUUCCAAUUAGAAGUGUUGCUUUGUCAUUGGACUACAUAUAUCUGGAUACCAUAAUGAUAAUGGACUUGCUUCCCUUUUAAUUUCAUGAUUGAGCAUUUAUAUCCUGAGUUAGACCCAGUCUGACAAAGGCACUGACAUGGAGGAGCUCAUGGUCUGAUGGGGAUAACAGCUCAGGGAAGAAACGGUAUGCAUGACAUGAUGCAUUGAAUGGGGCAGCCUACAUCUACUUUGCCUCCUGAGAAUAUCCUGAGCAUCAGGCCAGUGUUGGCUUCGCCAGGAAUCCUAACUCAGGUCUUGAAAGCAAGAUUGUUGCUGUUAAAAAGGUAAAAACUACCCCCGUACCAGUUACUCUGGGUGAAGAAAGGCGUCUAUGUUUGGCAAGGACUAAGGAAUAUUUGACUUCAUGAAUCAAUAACUAUUCUCAAAGCUGCUAUUGACCUCUGAUCUGCAAAUCUGUCAGCAAAGAGAGAUUAUGAUUCUUGCUCUGUCACCCACACUGGAGUGCAGUGGCACGAUUAUAGAUCACUGUAAUUGCAAACUCCUGGGCUUAAGUGAUCCUCCCACCUCAGCCUCCC
rnacentral:lncRNA from 1 species